rfam:Thermanaeromonas toyohensis ToBE genome assembly, chromosome: I
GGUCAAGCUAGGAAGGGCAUACGGUGGAUGCCUAGGCGCCAAGAGGCGAUGAAGGGCGUGGCAAGCUGCGAAAAGCCUCGGGGAGCCGCAAGCGGGCGUUGAUCCGGGGAUACCCGAAUGGGGGAACCUGUCUGGGGUAAUACCCAGGCAUCCCGUGCUGAAUAGAUAGGCAUGGGAGGCGAGACCGGGGGAACUGAAACAUCUUAGUACCCCGAGGAGAAGAAAUCAAGAUGAGAUUCCCUGAGUAGCGGCGAGCGAAAGGGGAGGAGCCCAAACUCUACGCAUGUAGAAGGCUGCCACCGUUGUGCGUAGGGGGUUGGGGGGCUAUCCUUACAGGCAGUGGCAGAUGUCUGGGGGGGACUUAAUCUGUAGGGGAACAGGGCUGGAAAGCCCGGCCGUAGAGAGUAAAAGCCUCGUACUCGAAACGGGUUAAGUUCCUCUGGGGUAGUACCCGAGUACCACGGGACACGGGGAAUCCCGUGGGAAGCAGGGGGGACCAUCCUCCAAGGCUAAAUACUCCUUGGCGACCGAUAGUGGACUAGUACCGUGAGGGAAUGGUGAAAAGCACCCCGGGAGGGGAGUGAAAUAGGACCUGAAACCGUAUGCCCACAAGCAGUCGGAGGUGCGCUUUAGGGCGUACUGACGGCGUACUUUUUGCAGAACGGGCCGGACGAGUUACGGUAACGAGCGAGGUUAAGGGGGAGACCCGGAGCCGUAGCGAAAGCGAGUCCGAAGAGGGCGUUAAGUUCGUUGCCGUAGACCCGAAACCGGGUGAGCUACCCAUGGGCAGGGUGAAGCGGGAGUAAAUACCUGUGGAGGCCCGAACCGGACGGGGUUGAAAACCCGUCGGAUGACCUGUGGGUAGGGGUGAAAUGCCAAUCGAACCCGGAGAUAGCUGGUUCUCCCCGAAAUAGCUUGAGGGCUAGCCUCAAGGGUGAGCUUUGCGGAGGUAGAGCACUGAUAAGGCUAGGGGCCUUACCAGGUUACCGAACCUUUUCAAACUCCGAAUGCCGCAAAGUGGUCCUUGGGAGUCAGACCGUGGGUGCCAAGAUUCAUGGUCGAGAGGGGAACAGCCCAGACCGCCAGCUAAGGUCCCCAAGGGCGAGCUAAGUGGGGAAGGAUGUGGGGCUGCCGAGACAACCAGGAUGUUGGCUUAGAAGCAGCCAUCAUUUAAAGAGUGCGUAAUAGCUCACUGGUCGAGUGGCCCUGCGCCGAAAAUGAAACGGGGCUCAAGCUCGCCACCGAAGCUGCGGCUUGCUAGGUAUCCGGGUGGGUACUUAGCAGGGGUAGGGGAGCGUACUCUAAGCGUCGAAGCUUAACCGGGAGGUUAGGUGGAGCUUAGGGUAGUGAGAAUGCCGGCAUGAGUAAGCGAGAAGGCAGGUGAGAAUCCUGCCCGCCGGAAGCCUAAGGUUUCCUGGGGAAGGCUCGUCCGCCCAGGGUAAGCCGGGACCUAAGCCGAGGCCGUGGAGGCGUAGGCGAUGGGGAGGCGGUUGAGAUUCCGCUGCCACCUAGUUCCCGUUUGAAGGAUGGGGUGACGCAGGAGGGUAGGCGCAGCGCACCGUUGGUAGAGUGCGUCCAAGCCUGUAGGGUGUGGGGCAGGGAAAACCGUCCCACGUGAAGCCUGAGGGGUGACGGGGAGGGAAGAUAGAGUACCGAACUGGCCGAGCCCACACUGCCAAGAAAAGCCUCUAACGAGGGGGCUAGGUGCCCGUACCGCAAACCGACACAGGUAGGCGAGGAGAGAAUCCACAGGCGCGCGAGCGAACCCUCGUCAAGGAACUCGGCAAAAUGGCCCCGUAACUUCGGGAGAAGGGGCGCCCCGUGUAGGGUAGCCGGGCCUUGCGUCUGGUGGCCCGAGGGGGCCGCAGAGAAACGGCCCAAGCGACUGUUUACCAAAAACACAGGUCCCUGCAAAAGCGAAAGCUGAAGUAUAGGGGCUGACGCCUGCCCGGUGCUGGAAGGUUAAGGGGAAGGGUUAGCUGGGGGCGAAAGCUUCUAGCGAAGCUCUGAACCGAAGCCCCAGUAAACGGCGGCCGUAACUAUAACGGUCCUAAGGUAGCGAAAUUCCUUGUCGGGUAAGUUCCGACCCGCACGAAAGGCGUAACGACUUGGGCACUGUCUCGACGGGGGGCUCGGUGAAAUUGUAGUACCCGUGAAGAUGCGGGUUACCUGCGGUAGGACAGAAAGACCCCGUGGAGCUUUACUGUAGCCUGGCAUUGGGUUUUGGUACCUCAUGUACAGGAUAGGUGGGAGGCGUAGAACCACUCUCGCCAGGGGGUGGGGAGCCGGCCUUGGGAUACCACCCUUGGGGUACUGAAAUUCUAACCUGGGGUCGUGAACCGGCCUAGGGACAGUGCCAGGUGGGCAGUUUGACUGGGGCGGUCGCCUCCUAAAGGGUAACGGAGGCGCCCAAAGGUACCCUCAGCGCGGUCGGAAAUCGCGCGUGGAGUGCAAAGGCAUAAGGGUGCUUGACUGCGAGACCGACGGGUCGAGCAGGGACGAAAGUCGGGCUUAGUGAUCCGGUGGUACCGGAUGGAAGGGCCAUCGCUCAACGGAUAAAAGCUACCCCGGGGAUAACAGGCUGAUCCCGCCCAAGAGUCCACAUCGACGGCGGGGUUUGGCACCUCGAUGUCGGCUCAUCGCAUCCUGGGGCUGAAGUAGGUCCCAAGGGUUGGGCUGUUCGCCCAUUAAAGCGGUACGUGAGCUGGGUUCAGAACGUCGUGAGACAGUUCGGUCCCUAUCCACCGCAGGCGCAGGAAACUUGAGGGGGGCCGUCCCUAGUACGAGAGGACCGGGAUGGACAGACCGCUGGUGUACCAGCUGUCCCGCCAGGGGCAUCGCUGGGUAGCCAAGUCUGGAGGGGAUAAGCGCUGAAGGCAUCUAAGCGCGAAGCCCACCCCAAGAUAAGGUUUCCCACCGGGAAAGCCGGGUAACGACCCCUGGAAGACUACCAGGUAGAUAGGCCGGGAGUGUAAGGGGGGUAACCCCUUUAGCGGACCGGUACUAAUCGGUCGAGGGCUUGACCCU